AGUGAAGCGGGAUGAGCUCAAAUUUAAAAUCUGGCUGGUUUACUAGUCCGAAUUGUAGUUUAUAGAAGCGUUUUCGGUGGCAGCCUGGGUAUAAAUCCUUUGGAAUAGGGUAUCAUAGAGGGUGAGAAUCCCGUCUUUGACUCAGUGCAUGCUACUAUGUGAUACGUUUUCAAAGAGUCGAGUUGUUUGGGAAUGCAGCUCAAAAUGGGUGGUAAAUUUCAUCUAAGGCUAAAUAUUGGCGAGAGACCGAUAGCGAACAAGUACCGUGAGGGAAAGAUGAAAAGAACUUUGAAAAGAGAGUUAAACAGUGCGUGAAAUUGUUGAAAGGGAAACGCUUGAUACCAGUUAUGCGGGUGGAAAAUCAGUCUUUUGCAAUGGGGAGUUGUGGGCGUUCAGACCGCAAGGCUGGCGUUUGCUUCAUCUUUGUUGUAAGUGAUGCACUUUUUCAUUUGCAGGUCAACAUCAGUUUGCUUUGCUGGACAAAACCCCAAGGGAAGGUGACAGCUUAGGCUGUGUUAUAGCCCUGGGGCGAUACAGUGGAGUGGACUGAGGUUUCGCAGUGUGUGCUCUCGGGCAAGGCUGACUGGGUGCUAUGGGAUCGUUCGGCGUACAAUGCAUGCAUUUUGCGUCGUGUCUUUUUCAUACUCGCUCAACUCGGCUCUUCCACGCUUAGGAUGUUGACUUAAUGGUUUUAAUCGACCCGUCUUGAAACACGGACCAAGGAGUCUAACAUAUAUGCAAGUGUUUGGGUGGCAAACCCAUGCGCGUAAUGAAAGUGAACGUAGGUGCCAUCCGCAAGGUGCAGCAUCGACCGAUCUUGAUAUUUUUGGAUAGAUUUGAGUAAGAGCAUAUAUGCUGGGACCCGAAAGAUGGUGAACUAUGCCUGAAUAGGGUGAAGCCAGAGGAAACUCUGGUGGAGGCUCGUAGCGAUUCUGACGUGCAAAUCGAUCGUCAAAUUUGGGUAUAGGGGCGAAAGACUAAUCG
rnacentral:rRNA from 2 species